UUGAGCAAUGUUCAAAAUAGGGACCUCCAGUCAACAGUAAUGUGAGAUCACAAUAUUGAAAUUGAUCCUUUAACAACCCCCCUGCCCCAGUCAAGCCUUGUGAUAACAGACCUUAAUACCUCUACUUUUAAAAGUCUUCCAGAAGAUUGAAGAUAGGAAUACACCCUUCCAGCUUCUAUGAAGCCAGCAUCACUCUGAUAUCAAAAGCAGGCAGGCACACAACCAAAAAAGAAAACUACAGACUAAUAUCUCUGAUGAACAUAGAUGCUAAAAUAUUGAACAAAAUUCUAGCCAACCGGAUACAGCAGUAUAUUCAAAAGAUUGUUCAUCACGACCAAGUGGGGUUUAUCCCAGGGACGCAAGGUUGUAUUAAUAUGUGUAAAUCAAUCAAUGUGACCACUACAUCAAUGCAAGACCAAAAACCACAUUGUUACAUCAAUAGAUACAGAGAAAGCCUUUGACAAAAUCCAACAUCUCUUUAUGAUCAAAACGCUACAAAAAUGGAAAUAGAUGGAAAAAUGCUCAAAGUAGUGGAGUCUAUAUAUAGCAACCUACAGCCAACAUCAUACUCUCAAUGGUGAAAAACUGGAAGCAUUUCCCUUCAAAUCAGGCACUAGACAGGGCUGCCCACUAUCACCAUUACUAUUCAACAUAGUAUUGGAAGUUCUUGACGUAACAAUCAGGCAGGAGCAAGGAAUUAAAGGGAUACAGAUUGGAAGAGAAAUCAAACUCUCCCUAUUUGUGCAUGAUGUGAUAGUAUACAUAGAAAAACCUAAGGAAUCCAGCAAGAAGCUUUAAAAAAAUUUUAUUAAUAAAAAGGAAACAUUGACAAAACCAUAGGAUAAGAGGGGUACAAUUCCACACAAUCCCCACUACCAGAAUUCUGUAUCCCAUCCCCUCCCCUGAUACCUUUCCUAUUCUUUAACCCUCUGGGAGUUAAAGUUAAAUCCCAAGGUCAUUCAUUGUGGGAUGCAGAAGGUGGAAGAUCUGGCUUCUGUAAUUGCUUCCCCACUUAACAUGGGCAUUGACAGAUCAGUCCAUACUCCCAGCCUGCCUCUCUCUCUCCCUAGUAGGGUGGGGCUCUGGGGAAGUGGAGCUCCAGGACACAUUGGUGGGGUUGUCUGUCCAGGGAAGUCUGGUUGGCAUCAUGCUAGCAGUAGGUUAAGUGCACAUGGCACAAAGCACAAGGACUGGCAUAAGGAUCCCGGUUCAAGCCCUGGCUCCCUACCUGCAGGGGGGGUGCUUCACAAGCUGUGAAGCAGGUCUGCAGGUGUCUAUCUUUCUCUCCCCCUCUCUGUCUUCCCCUCCACUCUGAAUUUCUCUCUGUCCUAUCCAACAACAACAACAACAAUAAUAACAAGGACAAAAAAGUGGAAUCAGAUGUUUUUUAUUAGAAAGGUAUUCAUUUCGUCUAAGUUAUGUAAUUAUUGACAUAAUUGCUAUUCAUCAUAUUCCCUUGUAGUUCUUUUAUUAGGUCUGUAGUUCUUUUUAUUAGGUCUGUAGUAAUUAGUGGUCAAUUUUUUAUUCCUGAUUUUAAGAGAAUCAGUCUCUCCACCACAUCCAGAUAAGAUUUGUCAAUUUUUUAAUUAUUGGUUAGGUAGGGGAGAGAGCAUAGUUGUUAUGCAAAAAGACCCUCAUGCAUGAGUCUCCAAAGUCCAGGUUCAAUCCCCCACAGCCAUAUAAGCCAGAGCUGAAAAAGACUGAUUGACUGAUUUUAUGAAAGACAAAAAUCACCAUUUCACUAUGGUAUAUGUGUAUGUUAUGCUGAGGAUCAAGCCUGAGACCCCACACGUUCAGGUAUGAUACUUCUCAGUUUUAUUGUUUCUAUUCAGUUCUCUUUUGUAAUUUAUUAAUAUUCACGAUUUCAUGAGUUUUCAAUAUCCUAAUUUUCCAUAGGUUCUUUAAAAAUAGUUUAUCUGGGGAUCAGGAGAUAGCUCACCCAGUAGAGCUCAGGCUCUACUAUGAAUAAGGGCCUUUGUGGUGUCCUUGCCUGACUUGAAGAGGAACCAGGACACUUUCAAAUGAAUAAGAAUUUGUUUUUUUGGUUUUUUUUUUAAUUUUUUAAAUUUAUUUAUUGGAUAGAAACAGCCAGAAAUUGAGAGAGGAGGGAGAGAUAGAGAGGGAAAGAGGUAAAGAGACAUCUGCAGCACAACUUCACCACUUGCAAAACUUUCUCCCUGCAGAUGUGGACCAAGGGCUCGAUCGAAUCUGGGUCCUUGUGCAUUGUAAUGUGUGCUCAACCAGGUACACGACUACCCAGUCCCAUGAGUAAGAGCUUUAUUGUCAAUCUCAUGACUGGAGAAAAGGGUUUCAUGUGAAAAGAAACCAUCUCCACCAGCAACAGAAAGGCAACACUUUUUAUCUUGGGCAAUUCCAGAUAUAGAGGGCAGCACUGAAGCAUACAAUAGUGGGUUUCUUGUGGAAGACAACUUGCAAAGUUCUUUGCAUCUUUGCUUUUGGUUUACCACACACUUUAUUUUUUAUUAUUGUGCAUUUUUACUAGUGAUUUACAAAACUGCAAAAUAACAGGUUACAAUUCCACACCAUUCCCACCACCAGAGUUCCAUAACAUUGUUCUCUUCAUUGGAAACUGCAGUGAUUCUCCCAAAGUCAUAGAGGUGGGUUGAAUAUUAUUAUUAUUAUUAUUAAUUAUAUUUAUUUAUUUUCCCUUUUGUUGCCCUUGUUCUUUAUUGUUAUUAUUGUUGUUGUUAUUGAUAACUGGGAUCUUUAUGCAGGCCCUUGUGCUUCCCACCACAUGUGCUUAACCCGCUGCGCUACCACCUGACUCCCUGAAUAUUAUUUUUAUGACUAUCAGUCUGUCUAUAAUUUUCCCCUGUAGUCCUGCCUUCUCUCCCCCCCCUUUUUUUUUCUUCCAGGGUUAUCAUUGGGGCCUGGUGCCAAUACUAUGAAUCCACUGCUCCUGGCAGCCUUUUUUUUCCUUCAUUUUAUUGGAUAAGUAAGAAAUUGAGAGGGGGAAGAUAGAGAGGGAGAGAGAAGAGAGAAAGCUAGACACCUGCAGAUCUGCUUCAAUGCUUGUGAAGCGACCCCCUUGCAGGUAAGGAGCCAGGGGCUCUACUGGGAUCCUUGUGUGGGUCCUUGCACUUGGUACUAUGUGCGCUUAACCCUGUGCAACACUGCUUGGGCCCCCUUUCUCUUCGUUUUUAAGUCAUACCUACACCUGCAACUACUUGAGAAUGUCUUUCUUUUUUUCCUCUUCUCUCUCACAGUCCUGAUGGAACUGGAGUUCAGAGCCCUUGAUUCACCUUCCCAUGAUCUCUCUCCCCCCUCUAGGAGUAUGGACCAAAUUCCUUUUGGAGGAGCAGAAGGUAGGAGUUCUGGGUUCUGUAAUUGCUUCAGUGCUGAACAUGGGCAUUGGCAGGUUGAUUUAUACCCCCAGCCUGAUUCUAUCUUCCCUAGUGGGGUAAGCCUCGGGAAAAGUGACAUACUUUAUUUUUAACAUGGAAUAUCUUUCUAUGUUAAGUGUUAUCAUCCUUUCAAGCACUGUACAGAUGCCAUUUCCUAGGUGUGUAACUUUUUAGAGGACUCUGCCUCUUUGAUACUUUCUGCCACUGUUCUUCUCCAAGUCUAAGGAGGUCAUAACAAAAGUUACAGUAGUAAAGAAGCUUUGACAAAAUAUUUUUUAAAGUAUUUAUUUAUUUACUUAUUACCUUUUGUUGCCCUUGUUGUUUUAUUGUUGUGAUUAUUUCUGUUGUCUGUCUUCAUUGUUGGAUAGGACAGACAGAAAUGGAGAGAAGAGGGGAAGACAGAGGGGAGAGAAAGAUAGACACCUACAGACCUGCUUCACUGCUUGUGAAGUGACUCCCCUGAAGGUGGGGAGCCAGGGGCUCCAAAUGGGAUCCUUACACCAGUCCUUGCGCUUUGCACCACCUGCGCUUAACCCACUGCGCUACCGCCCGACUACCUUGACAAAAUAUUUUUAGAGGAUUGUGCUCUGUUCUUACAAAGAAAAAUUCAUAUAAGUUGCAGUCUUCACUUUGGCAUAGUGUUUAGGGCAUAACUGCUCAAAUCAGACCCAGUGAGUUCACUACUCCUUUUUGAAGGAUUAAGUGAAGAAGAAUUCAAAUAAAAUCUUUAGCACAGGGUCUGGCACAUGCAUUUUACACAUAACUGCUGGGAUUUUCAUUAGCAUGGCAUAUAUUUCUUAGUAGGAGGGGACUUUUGAAAUCUGUUAUUUCAGUUGCAGGCACAGAGCAAUGCUCACUUUAUCUCACAUUCCUAUUCAAUUUUUAUCUAGCAUCUGUUUUAUUAUUCAAGGGCAGAGAGUUUACUAUCUCAGAAGCAAGUCAGUUCAUUACUUAAAGACUUUCGUUAUUAGAAAGUUCUUUCUUUCUUUGAGUUCAAAUUUUCCUCAUUUAUCCGCCCUAGAGGACCUCAAAAUAAGGCUAUUUAUCUUUUCUGUGGAAAACCUCUGAAUUUUCUGAAAUGUUCAUCUUUAGCCUUUCUUUCCAGACCUGGGAGGAGAUGACUACCUUUCAUGGCAAAGCAGCUUUCCCUGCCUUGGCUGCUAGUCUGAGGCAUCCUGCUGAAACCAAGAAGAUCUGAAAAGUCAAGAUGGAAGAAAUGAAUUCCCCUCGCAUCAUAACCAAUACAAUUUAUCUCUUUAUUUUUUCAGAUUGAGAGAGUGAGUCAGAGAGAAUGAGUAAGAGAAAGCACAGCACUGAAGUUUCAUUCAAUGCAAUGGGGGAUGGACCUGGGUUGCAUACAUGGCAAAGCAAUGCGCUAUCCAAAUAAACUAUUUCUCUGACCCUCUAACCUUCUUUACUAACCUCCCUUCCCCUGAGAAGAGAACCCAACCCCAACUUGUGAACACUGACCAGUUAAAAAUGUGUACAUGUAAAUAGAGAAGAGACUUCAAUUAUUGAUUUUUUUUCUUUGGGGAAAGUUAUAUAAAACAUUAUUGGAGUGAAAUUAAAUUCUAGUUACAGAUUCAGAAAACUUUGCUUCAUACCAAAUUAGACUUGAUGGGAUUUUCAAAUCCCCUCUGAUCCUUAUACACAGCCAAGUACUUCAAUCAAAGUCUACAGAAUCCUCUGGUUUAUUUUAUUAUAACUAAUUAAAGCAGACAUGAUACAUAAUGCAGUUGAUAUUACAUAUCUUGAGAAUGACAAAUCAAUAGAACUGCUCUCAGUCUUAAGUGUUAACUGGUCACUCAGAAAUGUUUUGUACAUUAACACUUUUCACUUUAGUUCUUCUCCACAAAAGGACUUAUUGUCUGCCAUCUGUUUGUAUAUGCACAUCAUGUCUCCCAAAAUAACAUUUAAGAUCUGUCUUUAUGUUGCCUCAGAAGUGUUAACCUUUAAGGAACAUUCAAACAAGUAACCAAAGUUCAGGUCUUGUCUCUGCAAAGCAUGUUCAAGCAUAGUCUACUGUUUUUCAUGACCUGAUAAAACUCUGCAACAGCUUACAAUGUGCUAGUCUCCUCUUUGCUCAAUUCAGAGGAGGUCUUAUAAAGGUAAAAGAAGAAGGAGAAAAAGAAGGAGGAGGAGGAAAAAGAGGAGGAGGAAGAGGAGGAAGAGGAAGCAAGCAAGCAAGCUUGAAAUCACAGUGGCCAAAGGAUUUGAAUUAAUAAUUACAUUAAAUAACCAUAGCUUUUUGUUUAUUUAUUCACAUUCCACACAGUGGAAAUUAGCCUUUCCUCCAGAUUUUUCACUUACACUUGUAACUUUGAAGAACUACAAUAACAACUUACAGCUUUACAACGUG